rnacentral:lncRNA from 1 species
UUUCCAAGUCUAGUGGUGAGGUUCGGUUUAUACCAUGUAUUUUAGGAUUGAGUAGUGGUAGGACCAGUCAGGCCCUUUAAAAUGUAGGCACAUACCGAGUAACAAAAUAGUUUUAAAAAUGUAUAUUAAAGUACGGAGUAUAGCUAAAGAGGUGGCAAGUCCCGUUAGCGCAUAAAAUGGCGGAGUCAUCGCCCGGUUGACGAGUACUGCGUAGAUCCUCUUAUUUUUGAUUGUAUAAAGCAGGGGAAGACGUUUUUUUAAGGAUAAGAUGUAAGACCCCGUAAGGUUCCGUCGUUUACAACAUGGCCGCCUGUCCCAUCUACAAAACUAUAGACACAUAGUUUCAUCAAUUUACCGACUCGUUAACGUGGACGACGCAGGAUGGACCCUAGAUAUUCACCAGUAUUAAUAACACCUUCGUAAUUUAGAACAAAAAUAAUUAAAAUUCAAGAUGUUUUAUUAUUAUGUUGGCGGCGUCAGGCAGGCUUAUUAUCAGCGGAUCUUAGGCAGCGAUGUUAGUUACAAAAGUCUAUGAACAAUACUUGGCAGCAGUAAACACAUGAGGCGAAUAUGAGAUUUAUCUAUCUAGAUAAACUAGGUAUAACUUUAUAUAUAUUCACUAGCUAUAUAUCUUUGUAAUUCAAAUGUUUCUCAAACUGAUAAUUAUGUAAUAGGACAAAUAAGUCGUUCAAUGUUUAAAUUUACCAUAAAAUUAAAAUGAUUGCGUUGUUUAUGUUAGUGCGGGGUCAGAAAAUAUUUAUAAACAUGGUUUAUUCACAUAGUUUAUUUGUAUUUCAUUCUCAUCAUUAAGUUUUAGUACAUGAAUUAGAGAUGUAAGACAGAACGGAGUUCCAACAAUGUAAUGUAGACCUUAUGGAGUGGAGAUAGGUAUGAAAAUGAGCACAUUAAACCGGGCGAUGACUUAGGUUAUUUUAUUAAUAGGAAUAAUGUUAUAAUUAUUAUCACAUUCAGUGUUUGACGACUUACAAUAUUUGCUAGUAUAUAAUUGAGUAACUAAGUUAGAAUACAGCUUAGAUGAUAUGUACCCUUAGCGGCUGAGCUUCAGCCUGGUAACGUAGGGUUUAGUGGAAGUAUGAUAGAGUAAGUGGUAGCAGGCGUAUGGUAUUAUGCUAGUGUUUAGCUGUAGGCUAGGGUAGGUAGGAUGGUAGCCCCUGGUCUUUAGGGAUUCAACAGGCCGUAGAUUCAGGACGUCCGUAUUUAGACUCCACAAAACGAAUCUGGAAGAAGCCUAAUUUGUUGGCAGGCUUAGUAUAAAUCUCCUAAACUAUCAGACGAGGCUUUUCCUAGCUACACUUAGGAUAGGUUAAACGUUAGAUAAGGUGUAAUUGAUAUUGUUAUUGAUAACGUUAGAAAUAACUUUUGAGUAAUAUUUAGACGUAGUAUUAUGGCUGCUAUUCAAAUGUUUUCUUUGCAAGUGUUAGGUUAAGUAAUAUUACAACAGCGUAGAUAUUAGGAACGUUAGAUAUAGUGAAGUCAUUCGCUUCGGAUUAUGCCCUUGAUUGCAAUUUUCUACCGAUGAACACCUUGAGGAACUCAAUUAAACAAUCUUGAAUUCAUAUACUUUAUCAAUAAUUUGUGUACAUUUUGAUAAAAUCUAACAGUUUUGUAUUUACAAAAAAAAACUAUCAUUAUUCAAAAACCAUUUUGUCGUUAAUUGUCUCUGUCCCCGAACAAACUUCAAUUCAAUAAUUUGUUUCAAUAAAAUGUUAAUUUAAAAACAGUAAUUUUACUGUUUUGAAAAGUAACUUCAUUGACGUCUGUAAAUCGUUGUAAACUUGAUUAAUAAAUCAUUAGUAAUCAAAGUAUUCAUUUUGUUUCUCUUUGUGUAAAUACUUGAUAUUUUCCCAAGACUUUGAUUAACUUUUUAACUGAAUUACAUACUAACUGCUUUUAACUAGAAUUAAUUCUUACACUGACUCUCUUUUUGCAAAAAUUAAAGGCUUUUAGAAACUUG